rnacentral:rRNA from 1 species
CAGCCGCCACGGGAAUACGCAGGUCCCGAACGUUGUCCAGAUUUAUUGGGCGUAAAGGGAGCGCAGGCGGUUUAGUAAGUCUGAAGUUAAAGGCAUUGGCUCAACCAAUGUAUGCCUUGGAAACUGUUAGACUUGAGUGCUGAAGGGGAGAGUGGAAUUCCAUGUGUAGCGGUGAAAUGCGUAGAUAUAUGGAGGAACACCGGUGGCGAAAGCGGCUCUCUGGUCUGUCACCGACGCUGAGGCUCGAAAGCGUGGGUAGCGAACAGGAUUAGAUACCCCCGUAGUCCCUGUCUCUUAUACA